ACGGAAGGCAGCGGUGAGGUAUAUUGGUCAAUGGGCGGAAGCCUGAACCAGCCAAGUCGCGUGAAGGAUGAAGGUAUUAUGUAUUGUAAACUUCUUUAGACGCAGAGAAAUAAGAGGCUCGUGAGCCUUGAUGCUAGUAUGCGUAGAAUAAGGAUCGGCUAACUCCGUGCCAGCAGCCGUGGUAAUACGGAGGAUCCGAGCGUUAUCCGGAUUUAUUGGGUUUAAAGGGUGCGCAGGCGGCCCUGUAAGUCAGCGGUUAAAUCGUGGAGCUCAACUCCAUCCCGCCGUUGAUACUGCAGGGCUUGAUUGCGGUCGAGGUUGGCGGAAUUCGCCGUGUAGCGGUGAAAUGCAUAGAUAUGGCGAAGAACUCCGAUUGCGUAGGCAGCUGACCAGGCCGUAAAUGACGCUCAUGCACGAAAGUGCGGGGAUCGAACAGGAUUAGAUACCCUGGUA
rnacentral:rRNA from 1 species